CCUUAGAGUUUGAUCCUGGCUCAGGAUGAACGCUGGCGGCGUGCCUAAUACAUGCAAGUCGAACGAAUCUCUUUUAGAGAUGAGUGGCGAACGGGUGAGUAAUACAUAGGUAACCUGCCCCUGUGCGGGGGAUAACAGGAGGAAACUCCUGCUAAUACCGCAUAGCCAUGAGCACCGCAUGGAGCUCAUGCCAAAUAUCCUUUAUGGGAUAGCGCAGGGAUGGACCUAUGGCGCAUUAGCUGGUUGGCGGGGCAACGGCCCACCAAGGCAACGAUGCGUAGCCGGCCUGAGAGGGCGGACGGCCACAUUGGGACUGAGACACGGCCCAGACUCCUACGGGAGGCAGCAGUAGGGAAUUUUCGGCAAUGGGGGAAACCCUGACCGAGCAACGCCGCGUGAGCGAAGAAGGCCUUCGGGUCGUAAAGCUCUGUUGUAAAGGAAGAACGGCGCAUACAGGAAAUGGUAUGCGAGUGACGGUACUUUACCAGAAAGCCACGGCUAACUACGUGCCAGCAGCCGCGGUAAUACGUAGGUGGCGAGCGUUAUCCGGAAUCAUUGGGCGUAAAGAGGGAGCAGGCGGCCGCAAGGGUCUGUGGUGAAAGACCGAAGCUAAACUUCGGUAAGCCAUGGAAACCGGGCGGCUAGAGUGCGGAAGAGGAUCGUGGAAUUCCAUGUGUAGCGGUGAAAUGCGUAGAUAUAUGGAGGAACACCAGUGGCGAAGGCGACGGUCUGGGCCGCAACUGACGCUCAUUCCCGAAAGCGUGGGGAGCAAAUAGGAUUAGAUACCCUAGUAGUCCACGCCGUAAACGAUGGUCACUAAGUGUCGGGGGUCAAACCCCGGUGCUGCAGUCAACGCAAUAAGUGACCCGCCUGAGUAGUACGUUCGCAAGA
rnacentral:rRNA from 1 species